GCCAUCAAACACCCACCGUCGCCAUCUGUAUCACAACACAACCGUCACACCACUAUUACACUGCUAUCACACCGCUAUCACUUGACACUCAACCAUAUGCGUUCUCCUCUUUCCCCCCUCAAUCGGAGACCACCAAAAUCUAUUACCCAUACCCCACUCCAUCUUUGUCACCUGGGCACCCUCCCUGACCAUCAGUGCAAUGAGAAACCCUAGCCACCACAAUUUUCAAACUCAUUAAUCGGAGACCACCACAAACUCAUUCAUCUCUCUCGCUAUAAUCUCCGUAAAUAAGCGUAGCUUAGAGCUCUCAGAGCCCCCUGUUCCUUGACUAUGAAUUUUUUGAGUCAGUGAUAGUGCCCCUCCACCCCUCUCUAUAAAAAAAGCCCAAAGAGCCACAACCACAAUCAAUCCCAACCAUCUCUAGGUUUGUAUCGAUGAUUUUUGUUGGAUAAAAGAGUCUUUUGUGUUGUUUUAAACGUUUUUCUAUUGGAUGCGUGGUUUAUGAUGAUUUUUCAUUGUAGAAAAGGAAUUGGUGGUUUUUUUUCAUCUGAAUGUUUUUCCCCUUCUUUCAAUCCCUUUCAAAGUCACGCCACUAUUAAAAUCACUACCAACCCAUUUUGGGUUUUAUUCUCUCUUCUCCAUCUCUCCUUCCGUUAUUAAUCAGUUCAUUUAUUCAUUGAUUUUAUCUUUGGUUUGAUUGUAGGUUUUAUGAAGAUCCCCAAUAGCCAUUAUCUUCAACACCACCAAAUCCUUCAUCAGCCGCCAUUUUCAACACACAUACCUGUAGUUCCCCUCAUCAUCACCACCACACCAUUUCUCAGGUUUACACCACCAUUAUCUCUGUUUCCCCUCUUUUUAUUCUUCGCCAAUUUAUAAAAUUAAUCAUACAGGUGCGUAUUUAUUUGAUUAUGGCUUAAAGUUUUACUUUUUUUAGGAUACAUUGGCAUACAUGUUUAUAAAAAUCAUUACUUUUACUUUCAAAAUGUUAAAAUUACUGAAUAUGGGAAGUCAAUAUGAAGCUUAACAAGAUAUAGAUAAGAAAGAUAAGGAUUUGGAACAUAUAAAGGUAUUUGUAUAUGUUUCUGAUAUCAUGAUGUUAAAAAAUUGGAUUUUAUUCAAACUAUUAUGGAUGUUUGGUUGACCUUUUUAUUAAAAUAUAGCUUAUGCUUUUAAUAGAUGAUUAUUUUCUAUUUAUCAUUAGUUAUAUCACACAAUCUUUCUUAUGUAUGAUUGAUGAAGAUCUGUUGCUCCUCUUCAAGGUAACAAUCUUGACCUAAUUCUCUUUGAAUUCGGUUUAAAUGAACUGUCUGUGUACUUUGAUUGUACAACAUUAUUAACAUAGAUCUGCCAACAAUAUCUGCAAUUUGUUCUAAUUUUCAGGUGCGUCUAUUUAGUUCAUUCCAGGUGUUCAUCUCCAAUGUAUAUGUAUGGUUUUUGUUCAGCUAACAACAAAACAUUGGCCUUUAUGUAGGUAUGAUUUUAUUUGAACCUGUAAAAACAAUACAUUCAACGAAAGGACCUAUGAAAUUUGUCUGGUUUUGGGAUUUAGUGUCUAGGGUGAAGCAAGAUUUAAAUCCUUCUCCAAUUUCUGGAAUUGGAUUCAAAAUCAUUUGACUUUGUCAAGUAAACCCAAAAAUUUUAAAUUAUUUUCUUCUUUUGGAUUCACCUUUAGUUUAUUUUUUUGAUACUCUAAAAGUGAAUGAACCUGGUAAUUUGGUGUGCUCCUAAAAUCGUCUUUAUGUUGGGCCAUGGCAUAUAAUUCCAGUCAAGUAUUAUAGGAAAUGUUGGAGUUUAGCACCUAAUAGUUGAGUGGCAGGGGAAAAGGAGGAAAACAACACCAUGGAUAGUUCUCUUAAUCAUGAUACCAACUAUAUGUUGUCAAUCCAUUUGUUUAUUGUGAUUUGAUAGACAUUUUUGGUUUUUUUGGAGUGCACAUACCUCUUCAUCUCAUAGAUAAAUUUGUGUACAAAGUGUUAGUCUCCUCUUAAAAGUAUUGUGAUCUGCAUGCUUUAAAUUACCAUUAGAUGAUUUUAGUAUUCACUUGUGUUUGUAUGUCCAUUUUUUGUGGUUUAGUGUUUGGUAGGCUGGAAUUUUGUUCAUAGGUUUGUCUGUGAUGAUGAAAAAGAAUUUUGUAGGUUUGAUAUAAUUUUCUGUAACCAAACCUAGAAAGGUAGUGAUGUUGAUUCGAUUUAUAGAAAUAAAAAACCAUGUAGAUGCAUUUAUAUGACAAUUGAAUAAAUAUUUUCGAAUGAGGUUCAUGAUAGAAAUAUUUGGUUGGUCAAAUGACUAAUGUAAUGGUUAUCAAUAUUUAUGAGGUUUUUGUAACAGUUUAACACUUGUAUUGUAGGUGCUUUGGCAUCUUAACAAUUGCUUUAAUGCAUCACCAAAUAUGGUUUCACUUACAUUGUUUAAUGGGUUUCUUGGUGGAGUUGAAAAUCCAGUUACUUUCUAAUUUCUAUAUUUGCAGACAAGAAUAGAGUAUUAGAUAUUAUUCAACAAUAAGAAACAUUCUUGCAGCGAUUAAUAUCAUAAAUGGCAACAACAUAUUCAUAAGGAUAAUGGCAACAAAAACCUGAACCAUUUAAAUAUGAGUAACUUUGAAUUGUUGGCAUGCGGUUGAUAAAAUAUUGAAAUUGUUGCUACCACUUUUAUGCAUAUUUUUCAGAUUUUCAAAUAUGCCGUUAAACUUGGUGCACGUCGCUCGUAGUUCACGCCAUUUUCCGUUGACCGCGUCGUACGUUCGACCCGUUUGCCUUCCCAAAAGCGAGUGAAAAUGAUCUAAAACACGAACCCAAAAACUUGUUCCCGUUUGCGCGUUGCCCGUCCUUGAGUCACACGAUAUAGAAAUCCAAGCUUUAGCUAAAGCUUCCUCCUCCUCUUCGAUCCAAGUUGUUCCUCUUCUAUUUGUAGCUUUUCCUUUUGAUUUCCUAUGCCUAGAUGGUUGUGUCUCUUCGACCCGGUCGUCCUCGUCGUUGUCCAAGUUUAUAGUUGGGGAUUAAGAACAAGGGACUUGAGAUGGUGGUGUUUGGAAUUGUUGAGAUGGUUGUGUUUGGAAUUAUUGAGAUGGUGGUGUUUGGAGUUGUUGAGAUGGUUGUGUUUGGAAUUGUUGGGGUCGAAAUUGUUGAAAACCUUGGAAUUGAGAUUGUGGUAAUUGUUGUUGGAAGUAGUUUGGUUGAAAUGGAAUGUUGGUAAAUAGAGGUUGAUGUUGGAUUGGGGAUGUUAGCAUUUGAAUGUAAUCUUGAUAUUGAUCAUUUGGAGUGGUUGGGGUUGUUGGGGUGUUUGGAGUGGUAGAUGUAUUUUGAUUUUGCUCCAUAUUUUUGAGAGAAAAUGAGAUAGUGGAGAGAUAUUAUUUGUAGAGAAAGAUGUGUUUAGUUUGUUUAUGUGUUUGUGUAUAUAUAGUAGAUGAAAUAAAUUGAAAAGUUUUUUUUUUUGUUAAUAAAAAGCAACGGUCAAAAAAUGAAAGGAAAAAACGGUAAAAAAAAAUCACCCAAUCAAAGCAUGAACGACCGUAAGAGAAUCCAAUCCGCGUCACA
rnacentral:lncRNA from 1 species